rnacentral:misc_RNA from 1 species
GAUGAAGAACGUAGCGAAUUGCGAUAAGUAAUGUGAAUUGCAGAAUUCAGUGAAUCAUCGAAUCUUUGAACGCACCUUGCGCCCUUUGGCCAUUCCGAAGGGCAUGCCUGUUUGAGUAUCAUGAACACCUCAACUCUUCAUGGUUUUCCAUGAUGAGCUUGGACUUUGGGGGUCUUGCUGGCCUGUGGGUCGGCUCCUCUCAAAUGAAUCAGCUUGCCGGUUUUUGGUGGGCAUCACAGGUGUGAUAACUAUCUACGCUUGUGGUUUUCCACCAGGGUAACCUUCAGCAGUGGAGGUUCACUGGAGCUUACAAAUGUCUCUCCUCUGUGAGGACAGCCCUUUGAAUGUUUGAUCUCAAAUCAGGUAGGACUACCCGCUGAACUUAAGCAUAUCAAUAAGCGGAGGA